GACGAACGCUGGCGGCGUGCUUAACACAUGCAAGUCGAACGGAAAGGCCCUUCGGGGUACUCGAGUGGCGAACGGGUGAGUAACACGUGGGUGAUCUGCCCUGCACUUUGGGAUAAGCCUGGGAAACUGGGUCUAAUACCGAAUAGGACCACGCGCUUCAUGGUGUGUGGUGGAAAGCUUUUGCGGUGUGGGAUGGGCCCGCGGCCUAUCAGCUUGUUGGUGGGGUAAUGGCCUACCAAGGCGACGACGGGUAGCCGGCCUGAGAGGGUGACCGGCCACACUGGGACUGAGAUACGGCCCAGACUCCUACGGGAGGCAGCAGUGGGGAAUAUUGCACAAUGGGCGCAAGCCUGAUGCAGCGACGCCGCGUGAGGGAUGACGGCCUUCGGGUUGUAAACCCCUUUCAAUAGGGACGAAGCGCAAGUGACGGUACCUAUAGAAGAAGCACCGGCCAACUACGUGCCAGCAGCCGCGGUAAUACGUAGGGUGCGAGCGUUGUCCGGAAUUACUGGGCGUAAAGAGCUCGUAGGUGGUUUGUCGCGUUGUUCGUGAAAACUCACAGCUUAACUGUGGGCGUGCGGGCGAUACGGGCAGACUAGAGUACUGCAGGGGAGACUGGAAUUCCUGGUGUAGCGGUGGAAUGCGCAGAUAUCAGGAGGAACACCGGUGGCGAAGGCGGGUCUCUGGGCAGUAACUGACGCUGAGGAGCGAAAGCGUGGGGAGCGAACAGGAUUAGAUACCCUGGUAGUCCACGCCGUAAACGGUGGGUACUAGGUGUGGGUUCCUUCCUUGGGAUCCGUGCCGUAGCUAACGCAUUAAGUACCCCGCCUGGGGAGUACGGCCGCAAGGCUAAAACUCAAAGGAAUUGACGGGGGCCCGCACAAGCGGCGGAGCAUGUGGAUUAAUUCGAUGCAACGCGAAGAACCUUACCUGGGUUUGACAUGCACAGGACGCCGGCAGAGAUGUCGGUUCCCUUGUGGCCUGUGUGCAGGUGGUGCAUGGCUGUCGUCAGCUCGUGUCGUGAGAUGUUGGGUUAAGUCCCGCAACGAGCGCAACCCUUGUCCUAUGUUGCCAGCGGGUUAUGCCGGGGACUCGUAGGAGACUGCCGGGGUCAACUCGGAGGAAGGUGGGGAUGACGUCAAGUCAUCAUGCCCCUUAUGUCCAGGGCUUCACACAUGCUACAAUGGCCGGUACAAAGGGCUGCGAUGCCGUGAGGUGGAGCGAAUCCUUUCAAAGCCGGUCUCAGUUCGGAUCGGGGUCUGCAACUCGACCCCGUGAAGUCGGAGUCGCUAGUAAUCGCAGAUCAGCAACGCUGCGGUGAAUACGUUCCCGGGCCU
rnacentral:rRNA from 1 species